rnacentral:misc_RNA from 1 species
UUAGUGAACGGCCCCGAAUCCUCUGUUGUCUCCCGCCAAGUUGACUAAACAGAGAUUCGGGGUUUGUCUUUU